rnacentral:rRNA from 1 species
ACGAACUGCGCGAACGUUAUUCGGAAUCACUGGGCUUAAAGGGUGCGUAGGCGGCCUGUUAAGUAGGGUGUGAAAUUUGUCGGCUCAACCGGCAAACUGCAUUCUAAACUGGCAGGCUUGAGUGAGUCAGGGGUGUGCGGAACUUCCGGUGGAGCGGUGAAAUGCGUUGAUAUCGGAAGGAACGCCGGUGGCGAAAGCGGCACACUGGGGCUUUUCUGACGCUGAGGCACGAAAGCUAGGGGAGCGAACAGG